CUGCCCUUCUCGAGCAACUGGAGAGCACAUUUGGAGAAACUUGCUGACGACCGAAGAAAAAAAGACCGAAGAAAAAAAAAUUCCGACUGCAAGUCAUUUCAGGUGGAGACAGUAAACACAGUUUUGGACUGUUGGAUGAUCGGCCAUAGAAUUCAAGAC